AUGUACCCCGCAUACAUCCGGUUGCUCUGCGCCGUCCGCAGCCAGCUGACGACCACUCGCCAACUUUUGUCAGUC
rnacentral:sRNA from 1 species